rnacentral:lncRNA from 1 species
AUGUGUUUAUUUGUCAUGGUUUGGGGAAGGGGCGCUGCUGUGGGGAUGAUGGGAGGCCUAGAACUCCUUCUCCUUCCUGCCAGAAGCUUUCCCGUGGCGCAACUCCUGGCCAUCAUGGACUUGUGCCAGAAAGUCCCGCCAAACAGAAGAACACAUGCCUCCAGGGGGAUCUUGGCCUCCUGCAGGGACUCUUGUGUUUCAGAGGGGCACCCUUCUGAGUCCUUUCCUACAAACACAUCUUUGUGCAUUUAUUCCCUAAAAAAAGACUUAUUGAGGACCCACUAUGUGCCCAGCCCAAGAGUAGAUUUGGGACACGUGUAAGCAAUAUACACCAAACCGCCACCCCGUGGACUCACACUGAGGUGGGCAGCACACCCAGGCCACCGAAAUGAGUUUUCAUAUCGGGGUUGGGACCCCUCGUCUUCUUGGAAGCCCUGGGAUUCUCAUGAACACGAUUUCUGUCUUUCCAGGUUUAUAGACCAAGGGCCCUAAAGAUAAAUGCUGGCCCUAGUUGGGCCACAAAAAGUUGUGUUAACCCCUUACCCUGGGCAGUGGGUGUCUCCACACCUACAUUUACACAAGAGAUAGAUCUGCCACAUGGCUUUUCUCUGAGGAAAGGAGGCCCAGUUCAAGCUGACUUGUUCUUUCUGUUAGAGGGGACUCUGUGUGUGUGUGUGUGUGUGUGCGCACGUGCAUGCGUGCAUGUGUGUUUGGCAGUGAGGAUUUAGGCUUCUAGGGGCAGUUUGGUGAAUUCUAUGAGGGUUUUACAUGGCUUCUGAAAGGGUUCUAUGAAGCUUCUACAUGGAUUCCAUUAAGCUCUCAUAAGGACUUUACGUUCAUCCACAAGAAGUGGACAUGGAUUCUAUGAAGACUAAGAGAUUUUAAUGUGUCAAGCGCUGACGCCUUGAAGGAGGUGGUGGGUGAGCAGCAGGGCUUUGCACUCAGCUGUGCCCCACUUGCCACAAAUGGGCUUUCACCUCCCCUUUCCCUAUAAACUGUAGCGUUUUUCUUUUCCGCUGGUUUCCUUCUUUUGCUCUUUACACAGCCAAUUUAACGAGAUGAAUUUAAAAACGAAUAAAAGGAAAACCCCAGAGCAAACAGCACAUGGUGAGCUUAGCCAAGGACAUCCUCUAGACAUCAAAGGCUCUGAGGCCAUUGAAGAUGCUGUGAAGCAAA